GUGCCAGCCGCCGCGGUAAUACCGGCAGCCCGAGUGAUGGCCGAUCUUAUUGGGCCUAAAGCGUCCGUAGCUGGCCUCGCAAGUCCGUCGGGAAAUCCAUUAGCCCAACUGAUGGGCGUCCGGCGGAAACUACAAGGCUUGGGACCGGAAGGCUCGAGGGGUACGUCCGGGGUAGGAGUGAAAUCCCGUAAUCCCGAACGGACCGCCGAUGGCGAAAGCACGUCGCGAGAACGGAUCCGACAGUGAGGGACGAAAGCCAGGGUCUCGAACCGGAUUAGAUACCCGGGGAGUCC
rnacentral:rRNA from 1 species